rnacentral:rRNA from 1 species
UUAAGUGACUAAGCGUACACGGUGGAUGCCUAGGCAGUAGAAGGCGAUGAAGGACGUGAUAGCCUGCGAUAAGCGACGGUGAGGUGGCAAAUACCCUAUGACCCGUCGAUUUCCGAAUGGGAAAACCCAUCCUUUAUGGAUAUCCUUUUUAAGGAAGCUAACCCGGAGAACUGAAACAUCUAAGUACCCGGAGGAAAAGAAAUCAACCGAGAUUCCCUUAGUAGCGGCGAGCGAACGGGGACCAGCCCUAAAGCAAUUAAUAAGAUAGCAGAAGUUUCUGGAAAGUAACACGGUACAGGGUGAUAGUCCCGUAUGCGAAAUGUUAUUAGUUGUUAUUCGAGUAGGACGGAACACGUGAAAUUCUGUCUGAAGAUGGGGGGACCACCCUCCAAGGCUAAAUACUCUCUACUGACCGAUAGUGAACCAGUACCGUGAGGGAAAGGCGAAAAGAACCCCUGAAGGGGAGUGAAAUAGAACCUGAAACCGUGUACGUACAAGCAGUGGGAGCACCCUCGUGGUGUGACUGCGUACCUUUUGUAUAAUGGGUCAGCGACUUACGUUAUGUAGCUAGGUUAACCGAAUAGGGGAGCCGUAGGGAAACCGAGUCUUAACUGGGCGACAAGUUGCAUGGCGUAGACCCGAAACCGGGCGAUCUAUCCAUGGCCAGGUUGAAGGUGCCGUAACAGGUACUGGAGGACCGAACCCACAAAUGUUGAAAAAUUUGGGGAUGAGCUGUGGAUCGGAGUGAAAGGCUAAUCAAGCCCGGAGAUAGCUGGUUCUCCUCGAAAACUAUUUAGGUAGUGCCUCAUGUCUUACUGCUGGGGGUAGAGCACUGUUAUGGUCUAGCGGUCCGUCAAGGAUUAGCAGCCCAUUGCAAACUCCGAAUACCAGCAAGUACAAUCAUGGGAGACAGACUGCGGGUGCUAACGUCCGUAGUCAAGAGGGAAACAACCCAGACCGCCAGCUAAGGUCCCUAAACACCGCUCAGUGGGAAAGGAUGUGGGAAGGCACAGACAGACAGGAGGUUGGCUUAGAAGCAGCCACCCUUUAAAGAAAGCGUAAUAGCUCACUGUUCGAGUCGGCCUGCGCCGAAGAUUUAACGGGGCUAAGUGGUGUACCGAAGCUGCGGAUACUUUUUUAAGUAUGGUAGAGGAGCGUUCUGUAAGCCUGCGAAGGUGUGUUGUAAAGCAUGCUGGAGGUAUCAGAAGUGCGAAUGCUGACAUGAGUAGCGAUAAAGGGAGUGAAAAGCUCCCUCGCCGAAAGACCAAGGGUUCCUACGCAACGCUAAUCGACGUAGGGUUAGUCGGCCCCUAAGGUGAGUCCGAAAGGAGUAGCCGAUGGGAAACAGGUUAAUAUUCCUGUACCAGUUGGAGGAUGACGGAUCAGGUAAGUAUGCUUGUCUUAUUGGAUUGAUAAGUAUAUGAACUGGUUCCAAGAAAUAGCACCAACAUAAUGACCGUACCCCAAACCAACACAGGUGGUCGGGAUGAGUAUUCUAAGGCGCUUGAGAGAACUCGGGUGAAGGAACUAGGCAAAAUGACACCGUAACUUCGGGAGAAGGUGUGCCCACGCAAGUGGGCCGCAGUGACUAGGUGGCUGCAACUGUUUACUAAAAACAUAGCACUCUGCAAAAUCGAAAGAUGACGUAUAGGGUGUGACGCCUGCCCGGUGCCGGAAGGUUAAUUGAUGGGGUUAGCUUAUGCGAAGCUCUUGAUCGAAGCCCCGGUAAACGGCGGCCGUAACUAUAACGGUCCUAAGGUAGCGAAAUUCCUUGUCGGGUAAGUUCCGACCUGCACGAAUGGCGUAAUGAUGGCCACACUGUCUCCACCCGAGACUCAGCGAAAUUGAAAUCGCAGUUAAGAUGCUGCGUCCCCGCGGCUAGACGGAAAGACCCCGUGAACCUUUACUACAGCUUUGCACUGGACUUUGACCUAAUUUGUGUAGGAUAGGUG